GUGGAAACGAGGUGCUAAUACCGCAUAAAUCCAAGAACCGCCUGGUUCUUGGCUGAAAGAUGGCGUAAGCUAUCGCUUUUGGAUGGACCCGCGGCGUAUUAGCUAGUUGGUGAGGUAACGGCUCACCAAGGCAAUGAUACGUAGCCGAACUGAGAGGUUGAUCGGCCACAUUGGGAGUGAGACACGGCCCAAACUCCUACGGGAGGCUGCAGUAGGGAAUCUUCCACAAUGGGCGAAAGCCUGAUGGAGCAACGCCGCGUGUGUGAAGAAGGCUUUCGGGUCGUAAAGCACUGUUGUAUGGGAAGAAAUGCUAAAAUAGGGAAUGAUUUUAGUUUGACGCUACCAUACCAGAAAGGGACGGCUAAC
rnacentral:rRNA from 1 species